GUAGUAAAUAGUGUAUGAGCUCGAAACUUAAAGAAUUUGGCGGUUUCUAAGUCCGGUCAGAGGAAUCUGUGUCGUAAAUGAUAUACCACGAGUAUCUUGCUUUAUUUUGUAUAAUCAGUUUGUAUACCUCCAUUAUUAGAUAAUUUUUUAAGGGAUUUAUUGUAAUAGAUUAUAUCUAUGAUAUUAGGUCAAGGUGCAGCUUAUAUUAAAGUGUUCAUGGAUUACAGUGUUUAUAAAAACAUACGGAUGGGGUGCUGAAAAGGUGGGCCUUGAAGGUGGAUUUGAAUGUAAUUGAUGAAUAUAAUACAUUGCUGAUAAAGGCUCUUGGAUAUGUACACAUCG
rnacentral:rRNA from 1 species